rnacentral:rRNA from 1 species
UACGAAGGGGGCUAGCGUUGCUCGGAAUUACUGGGCGUAAAGCGCACGUAGGCGGAUUGUUAAGUCGGGGGUGAAAUCCUGGAGCUCAACUCCAGAACUGCCUUCGAUACUGGCGAUCUCGAGUUCGGGAGAGGUGAGUGGAACUGCGAGUGUAGAGGUGAAAUUCGUAGUUAUUCGCAAGAACACCAGUGGCGAAGGCGGCUCACUGGCCCGAUACUGACGCUGAGGUGCGAAAGCGUGGGGAGCAAACAGG